UACGUAGGGUGCGAGCGUUAAUCGGAAUUACUGGGCGUAAGUGUGCGCAGGCGGCCGCGCAAGUCGAGUGUGAAGACCCCGGCCUUAACUUGGGAAUUGCGCUCGAAACUACGUGGCUGGAGUGUGGCAGAGGAAGGUAGGAAUUCCUGGUGUAGCGGUGAAAUGCGUAGAUAUCAGGAGGAACACCGGUGGUGCAAACGGCUUCUGGACCGUAACUGACGCUGAGACACGAAAGCGUGGGGAGCAAACAGG
rnacentral:rRNA from 1 species